CCUCUUCAGGGGUAACCCUGGGGAGGGGAGAGCGGCGAACGGGUGAGUAACACGUGGGCAACCUGCCCCAGACUCUGGGAUAACCCCGGGAAACCGGGGCUAAUACCGGAUACUCCGAACGGAUCACAUGAUCCGUUCGGGAAAGCUCCGACGGUCUGGGAUGGGCCCGCGGCCUAUCAGCUUGUUGGUGGGGUAACGGCCUACCAAGGCGACGACGGGUAGCUGGUCUGAGAGGACGGCCAGCCACACUGGGACUGAGACACGGCCCAGACUCCUACGGGAGGCAGCAGUGGGGAAUCUUGCGCAAUGGGCGAAAGCCUGACGCAGCGACGCCGCGUGGGGGAUGAAGGCCCUCGGGUUGUAAACCUCUUUCGGCGGGGACGAAGCCGCAAGGUGACGGUACCUGCAGAAGAAGCUCCGGCUAACUACGUGCCAGCAGCCGCGGUAAGACGUAGGGAGCGAGCGUUGUCCGGAUUCAUUGGGCGUAAAGCGCGCGUAGGCGGCCUCGCAAGUCGGUUGUGAAAUCCCGGGGCUCAACCCCGGGACUGCGUCCGAUACUGCGAGGCUGGAGGUAGGUAGGGGAGAUCGGAAUUCCUGGUGUAGCGGUGAAAUGCGCAGAUAUCAGGAGGAACACCGGUGGCGAAGGCGGAUCUCUGGGCCUUACCUGACGCUGAGGCGCGAAAGCUAGGGGAGCGAACAGGAUUAGAUACCCUGGUAGUCCUAGCCGUAAACGUUGGGUGCUAGGUGUGGGCGGAUAUCGACCCCGUCCGUGCCGAAGCUAACGCAUUAAGCACCCCGCCUGGGGAGUACGGCCGCAAGGCUAAAACUC
rnacentral:rRNA from 1 species